UACGUGGGGUGCGAGCGUUGCCCGGAAUUAUUGGGCGUAAAGAGCUCGUAGGCGGUGUGUCACGUCGGCCGUGAAAACCUGCAGCUUAACUGUGGGCGUGCGGUCGAUACGGGCAUCACUGGAGUUCGGCAGGGGAGACUGGAAUUCCUGGUGUAGCGGUGAAAUGCGCAGAUAUCAGGAGGAACACCGGUGGCGAAGGCGGGUCUCUGGGCCGAUACUGACGCUGGAGGAGCGAAAGCGUGGGGAGCAAACAGG
rnacentral:rRNA from 1 species